rnacentral:rRNA from 1 species
CGCUAUCACUCCUACGGGAGGCAGCAGUGGGGGAAUAUUGCACAAUGGGCGCAAGCCUGAUGCAGCCAUGCCGCGUGUGUGAAGAAGGCCUUCGGGUUGUAAAGCACUUUCAGUCGUGAGGAAGGUAGUGUAGUUAAUAGCUGCAUUAUUUGACGUUAGCGACAGAAGAAGCACCGGCUAACUCCGUGCCAGCAGCCGCGGUAAUACGGAGGGUGCGAGCGUUAAUCGGAAUUACUGGGCGUAAAGCGCAUGCAGGUGGUUUGUUAAGUCAGAUGUGAAAGCCCGGGGCUCAACCUCGGAAUUGCAUUUGAAACUGGCAGACUAGAGUACUGUAGAGGGGGUAGAAUUUCAGGUGUAGCGGUGAAAAUGCGUAGAGAUCUGAAGGAAUACCAGUGGCGAAGGCGGCCCCCUGGACAAAGACUGACGCUCAGAUGCGAAAGCGUGGGGAGCAAACAGGAUUAGAUACCCUGGUAG